rnacentral:sRNA from 1 species
GUAUAUCGACCUAGGUUCCCAAUGGGAGAGGGGUACAACUUGACUUUCAAACUUUCCUUUCAGAUUUAAGAAUAAAGACUGAAGGUCUGAAGAUGUCUAUGAGAUACCACUUCCGCUUCCGGUUCGGGCAAUGCUAUGAAGAGUGUUCUCGAUUGCUUCACCGGUGGUUCUCACUCCACCUGUACAUUAAUAGCCAUUGGCGUUCAUCCGGCGUUAUAAUUACUGCCACGUAACUAACCUAUUUAGCGGCAUCACGUGUAGACACCUGUUUUAACUUCUAACCGGCCUCAGGUCUCAGACAGACUUAUAACGCAGUUACAUUCCAAAAUGAAAUUAAAAUAUAAAACACUUUGUUUUUCUGACGGCUUAACCAUGGAUUGAUCUUCUACAUGCGUGGUCACUAAGAAGAAAUGACGUAAAAAUAGCAGUGAUUAGGUCGGGACUAAUCGGAUUAAGGGAUGAGUACUGGUGCACCACCUCGCCAGAUCACCUCCCAUGUUAAGACGGUUAGACUAUCUAUAACGCAGACAGAAGGCUAUAAUUUAUCAACGACAUUGCCCUUUUCUAUCAUUUUUUUUUGACAGUGGCUUCUUUGGGCGAUCGUGGGGAGGGUGGCACGGGGCAGGGCCCGUGUUUACGGCUGUAGAACUAAUCUCCCGACAAUUUGAAUUACGGGAGAUUAAGACCUGUUUGUCCGGUCGAUGCCCUCGCCCGCCCUACCGAUACGUCGAUAGGUAUCUGUGUGCGCUGAUGCUGAAUAUAAGUAAUAUCGAUUUGGAUCCUAACUCUUCACCCCAUCUCUAAGUUCAACGACUGCAGACAGAGAAAACCACGCGGAGUCACCACAGUUCAGCCAUGCCCGCGCUCGGUUUUCCUCUGCAGCAGUCACCCUGAAUAACGAAUUCACUGUUUGAUUUAUUCUAUAUUAAAAUAUUUUUUCUAU